UACGAAGGGGGCUAGCGUUGCUCGGAAUCACUGGGCGUAAAGCGCACGUAGGCGGCUUUUUAAGUCAGGGGUGAAAUCCUGGAGCUCAACUCCAGAACUGCCUUUGAUACUGGGAAGCUUGAGUCCGGGAGAGGUGAGUGGAACUCCGAGUGUAGAGGUGAAAUUCGUAGAUAUUCGCAAGAACACCGGUGGCGAAGGCGGUUCUCUGGGCCUUACCUGACGCUGAGGAGCGAAAGCGUGGGGAGCGAACAGG
rnacentral:rRNA from 1 species